rnacentral:rRNA from 1 species
UUUUGAGAGUAAAGUGCAAAGAAUGACGCUAGGGGACUACGAGAUAAGUUCUUAAAAUCCAAAGAACUUGGCGGUAUCCAAGACUCUUCAGGGGAACUUGCUUCUAAAACGAUGAUCCACGUGGGACCUUACCCUGUUUAGUAAAUCAGCUUGCAUACAGUCGUUAUCAGUCCUUGUUGUAAAAUAGGAGAAGAGGGCAGCAGAAAUAGGUAAUUUUAUAUAUCAGAUCAGUGUACAGUUAAUUAUCAGGGGGGGAGUGAGUUACAAUUAGUAUUUAUAAUUACGGAGCUAGUAAGGAAAUGUGCUGGUGAAGGAGGACUUGAAAGUAAGGAUAGCUUAUAAAGAUUUCUUGAACAUAGUUAGGAUGUGUACAAAUCGCCCGUCACUCUCAUUGAAAAGUGAGAUAAGUCGUAACAUAGUAGGAGUAACGGAAGUUGUUCCU